rnacentral:rRNA from 1 species
AACGAACGCUGGCGGCAUGCCUAACACAUGCAAGUCGAACGAGACCUUCGUGUCUAGUUGCGCACGUGUGCGUAACGCGUGGUAACCUGCCCUUAGGUUCGGAAUCACUCCCCGAAAGAGGUGCUAAUACCGGUUAGUGUCUUCCCACCAAAGAUUUCUCGCCUUUGGAUGGGCCCGCGUUGGAUUCGCGGGUGGGUAGGGUAAAAGCCUACCAAGGCGACGAUCCAGAGCUGGUCUGAGAGGAUGAUAAGCCACACUGGGCCUGAGACACGGCCCAGACUGGUAGGGGAGGGAGCAGUGGGGAAUAUUGGACAAGGGGGGAAAGCCUGAGCAAGCAAUGCGGGGUGAGUGAGGAAGGGGGUAGGGUUGUAAAGCUGUUUGAGCCGGGAGGAUAAUGACAGUACCGGGAGAAUAAGCGCCGGCUAACUACGUG